rnacentral:lncRNA from 1 species
AUGAUUUAUCUUUUUACUUCUCUAUUCUCUUCAUCCUUUCUCUUUCUCUGUGUUUCAUUUGGCCUUUUCCAUUCUCUAUAUUUCCAGCUAGAUGAACGUAUGCCAGGAAAUUGCAGCUGUCCUUCCCCAGAGCCCAGCUGUUGGCUCCCCAGGUUCUAUCCUAUUUAUAAGCACCUGUGAAAAGUAACAGCAUGAAAUAAUUCCCUACAGGAGCUUUUGCAGAUCAAGAAUGAAGAUCUAAAGUCUUCCAGGCCUGAAACACUCCAAUCUCAGCCCUGAAGUCAGCUGUGCCCCUCCACCAUCACCACCUCUAUUGCCCAUUUCAGCUCAGUACGGAUUACUGGGGGAAGAGGAGUAGAAGGGGAAGAAAAAGGUGGAAGGACAGGGAAUGGGGCUACCCUGGGCCACAGAGAGAGAAAAUGCCCAGAAGACUGAAUCAAGGAGACCAACCAAAGACAAAGUGUGGCCCCAAUCAGACAGGAAGAGCUCCUUACUCUUGGAAUUUCUCUUCCUUCCUGUUGUAGUAGAAAGACCCUGAGCAUAACUUUAGUGAUGGGUCCAAUUCAGUUAACUGAGCAAUCAAAAAUGUUUAUUAAACAUUUACUUUGUGCCAGACAUUGUGGCACGUGUAUUUAGCAGGAUGUGUGGAUCAGCAUGUAUGUACACAGGAAUAUAUAUUUACCUAUUUGUCUUUAGGUGGGGUGACCAGAAUUAUCCAAACAAAUCCACUAUUUACUCAAUUAAUCAAUAACAUUUAUUGAUCACUAUAUGCUGUGGCAGGGACUUGUAGACAGAAAUUGAAAGAAAAUAGUUCCUCCCUCAGGGCAAUUACAUUGUAUAGGUGGGAUACAAUGUAUACAUAUUUAGUAAAUAUAAAAUAUAUAAUAACUAAAUACAAAGAUAUCUGGGAUCUAUGAUGCGAAAGCACCAAUGGGAGGGAGGGCAGGAUCAGAAAAGGUUUUCUGGAGAAGGUGGCGCCUGAAUUGAUCCUGGAAGAGAAUUAAGGAUUCCAAGAGAAGGAAGAUCAUCACAAGUAUGAUGGUAUAGGUUGGGGUGGGGGUGGGGGGGAACAACCCAUGCAAAAAGGCAAGGGCAUGGGGAUAGAGAAUAAGCCAAAAC